rnacentral:rRNA from 1 species
UACGUAGGUGGCAAGCGUUGUCCGGAAUUACUGGGUGUAAAGCGCGUGUAGGCGGCAGACCAAGUCGGCGGUGAAAGCGCCCGGCUCAACUGGGCGAGGUCCGUGGAAACUGGUCAGCUGGAGGACGGUAGAGGCGAGUGGAAUUCCCGGUGUAGUGGUGAAAAUGCGUAGAGAUCGGGGAGGAACACCGGUGGCGAAGGCGGCCAAACUGGUCCGGAUC